GAUGAAGAACGUAGCGAAAUGCGAUAAGUAGUGUGAAUUGCAGAAUUUAGUGAAUCAUCGAAUCUUUGAACGCACAUUGCGCCCCUUGGUAUUCCGAGGGGCAUGCCUGUUCGAGCGUCAUUAUAACCCCUCAAGCUCAGCUUGGUGUUGGGGCCUGCUGCACUGGCAGCCCUUAAAAUCAGUGGCGGCGCCAUCUGGCUCUAAGCGUAGUAAUUCUUCUCGCUAUGGAGUCCUGGUGGAUGCUUGCCAUCAACCCCCAAUUUUUCUAUGGUUGACCUCGGAUCAGGUAGGGAUACCCGCUGAACUUAAGCAUAUCAAUAAGCGGAGGA
rnacentral:misc_RNA from 1 species